GGGGUGAGCGGGCUUCGGCGAGCCCGACGAGGCGCAGGCCUGCCCCGGGCCCCGCAGGAAAUACUGACCUCUGCGGAAAAGGGGAGAGGGUGGGCGGCAUGCCUGCAGCGGAGGAGGACACAGAGACCCAAACCAUUUGGAAAGCAUCCUGGUCUGGAGUCUGAGGCCUGAAAAUUAAUGGCGGCUGGGAUUCCGGGGAGGUCUCCCAGGACAGGAAAAGGAGGGGAAUCUCAACAUGGAAAAACUCUGCAAUGGAGAUGAAGGAAUGCCUGAGAAAAAAGGGAAGAUGGAAUACAAAGAACAGCCAGAGGAUGUGGGAAGGCCAGAAUUAGCUUGUACUCUGGAAGACAAGGAAAAGUUAGAAAACAAGGGAAAGACAGAAAAUGAGGAAAUACUGAAGGACAAGGAAAGGCCAGGGAGUGUGGAAAAGCCAAAAGAGGGAAAGCCAAAAAGAAGAAGGAAAACCCACGAGUGAGGGGAAGCCAGAGAGCAAGGGACAGCCAAAAGAAGGAGAAGCAGGGAUCAAGGGAGAACCAAAAGAAAUAAAAUCAGAGAGUGAGGAAAAAAAAUCAGAGCCAAUGAAAAGAGGGAAAGUCAGAGAGCCAGGAAAAGCCAAAAGAAGACGAAAAGUCAGCCAGGGAACCAAAGGCUGUGGAAAGCACCAGCUGGGAAUGAUGUACCCAGGCAGGCCAAAAGAAAAACCAGCAAGGGGCUGGCUCAGUGUCUCAAGGAAUAUGAGGAGGCCAUACACAAUAUGCAUUUGAACAAUGAGGAGAUGGUAAGAGAAUUUGAUGAGAUUGGCAGGGUGGAGGAUUAGGUGAAGGAAACCAGACAGAAAUUGGGGGGGUGGUGGUUAUGAGGUCACAAAAAUGUUUACAGGACCCUUUCCACCCUGGGGGCCAAAGGAACUCAGGGGUGGAUGUAGAGCCCCACAAAGGGGCUAUGAAGACAUUCCUUUUGUGUAGUGCCCCUGGCAAGCAUUUGCCAGGUCCUCUGCCUUAACCUUAUGCUAAUAAUUUGCUUUAGCUGUCACUCUCAUUGUCAGCAGCCUUUUGAGCCAACUAGAACACUCUAUCAGUAGGGGUUUCCACCCAUGUGCUUUGCAAAGUCGUUUUAAUUCUUGAAAAAUAAAGUAUCUUAUAAUACCAUCUACAGAAUCAGUCCACCUUUAUAGAAAACAUAAGUUUAUAUACUACAUCUAUGCACAGGAAAAACAGAAACUUUCGUUCACCAAAAGGUUAACAGUGGUUCUCUGAAUUAUAAGACUGUUGAUGACUUAUUUUCUUUGUUUUGUUUCUACUCAUAUUUUUUCCCUAAAGAACACAGACUACUUUUCUCAUAAAGAAAUACUAAAAUAUAAAAAGAAAAAUAAUACACGAAAGAAAUACAAAGAUCUCUUCAGUGAGUUUAUGAAGGCAACGGAGACACUUAAAUUUCUUAUCAGAACUUAAAACUAUGUGUAAGGCUCACAUUAUCUCUAGGACUCAAAUUUAGGGGAAUCAACCUGGCAGUUACUACAGACCCAUUGCUGUAAAAGACAGUUUUGUCAUUUGUGAAAUGUGAAUACUUGCCUCAUAGGAUUGCCGAGUAGAAUAGAUGAGGUGCUGAGUAUGUGAACUGUGCUUGUCUAGUUUCUACCUUUUCUCCUACACUGGCAGGGACCAAGACCCCCCCCAUCAGACUUGGAAAGGGAUAAGGUACAGCUUACCUAUG